GGGGCUUUAGCUCAGUGGUAGAGCACUUGCCUAGCAAGCGCAAGGCCCUGGGUUCAGUCCCCAGCUCCG
rnacentral:tRNA from 1 species